rnacentral:rRNA from 1 species
UACGGAGGGGGCGAGCGUUGUUCGGAGUUACUGGGCGUAAAGCGCACGUAGGCGGUGCGGUAAGUCAGGGGUGAAAUCCCACGGCUCAACCGUGGAAUUGCCUUUGAAACUGCUGGGCUUGGAUCCUGGAGAGGGUGGCGGAAUUCCUGGUGUAGGAGUGAAAUCCGUAGAUAUCAGGAGGAACACCGGUGGCGAAGGCGGCCACCUGGGCCUGUACUGACGCUCAUGCACGAAAGCGAGGGGAGCAAACAGG